AUCAAUAUUUAUUAUUUAUAUUUUAAUACAUGCACAAAACAUGGCCCAAACAGAUAGUACACAAAAACCUUUAGACCAGUGCAGGCCUGCACAAUAAAUCGUUAUAAAAUCGUGAUUCACCCCUGUGCACGAUUUAAUUUUGAAAUUACUUUGACUCUCAUUUAAUUUUACUGGCCGACUGCAUCACAAACGCUUUCUUAUGUGAGCGCUCCCAAGUGCUGCAGGUUAACGUUAGGUUCUCACAAAGCUCAGGGUUUCACCCUCAGCCAAUGACAAAGCGCCUUUUAGUCACGUGUUUCCCUUGUGGAAUGAGCAUGGUAGUUCGGAAAGUCUGCAGCAUCGUUGAACUGGACUCAAACGUCACCACAAAAUGCAAUAUGAUGAAGCCAUACAAGGCAAGAGAUCCGAAAGUGGUACUGUCAAUACCACUUUUUUUUUGUCAUGGUUCAUGUGUGCAAUAAACUUUACACUUUGUGAGGGAAAAAAAUCGUGCCAGAGAAUGGUGAUAUCAAUUCUAAGCUAAAAAACCAUGAUUCAUAUUUUUCCCCGAAUCGUGCAGGCCUAGACCAGUGUAUAAAGUAAGUUUUUACAUGAGGAAACUGCUGUAUAUGUGACUAUGAACCUCCAACAAAGCUAUGACCUAUGAUGACCUACCUAUUGAAGCGCUGUGCCACUUCAUGAGAAAGGUCUUUAUGAAUGAAAUGUUGAUACUUUUUAAAUAUAUUAAUUCAAUAGUUUAUCAGCAUAGUAUUGUGGUGUGUUUGUGUAAGAAUGAUACUGAUAUUCUGAUAUUCCACCUGCGCCCCCCAGGGAUGUGUUCUCUCCCCACUGCUCUUCUCCCUCUACACAACGAUGACGAGUCCGCAUACAGGCAGGAGGUGGACCAGCCGGUCCACUGGUGCAGUCAGAACCACCUGGAGCUGAACUUGCUCAAGACGGUGGAGAUGACAGUGAACUUUAGGAGAAACCCUCCCCUCACCGUCUCACCAUCCUCAACAACAGUGUCAACAGUGAUGUGCCACAGAUUCCUAGAAACCACCCUCUCACGGGAUCUGAGGUGGUCCUCACAUGCUGAUACUGUCAGGAAGAAGGCCCAGCAGAGACUGUACGUCCUGCAGCAACUCAGGAAGUUAAACCAUGCCACAGGAGCUGCUGGUCAUCUUUUACACUGCCAUUGUUCAGUCUGUCCUGUGUACAUCCUUCACUGUGUGGUUUGACAAGACAGGACCAGACUGCAAUGGAUAGUCAGGUCUGCACAGAAGAUCAUCGGUGCUGACCUUCCCUCAGGUUUUUUGGAGCAGGGAAACAUCUAAAACAUGCAGCACCAGGAGUGAGAAACUCUGUUCUAGAGGAAGGGCCGAUAUCCAAAACAGUCUGAAGAAAGGGCUUCUACCUCAAGAAAGGCACUUGGGGACAUAAAAACGGGUUAUAUGAAAAUUCUCACACUCAACACACUCUCACCCUGUCACACACACCUGGAGACCCUGAGAGGCCGUGGACCUGGUCCCCGAGAGGACGUGGACCCUGAGAGGACAUGGAGAACCUGAGAGGACGUGGAGACCCUGAGAGGACAUGGUCCCUGUGCAGAACCAGAGGUGGUUUUAAUAGCAGUGUCAGGUCUGGUUGUGUCACUGUGGUCGAGACACAGCGACAAACACUCAUACAAAAACUGUUGAAUUGUUCGUCAAUGGAGAGAAGACAAAGUGCACCUGGACGUGGUCUAAGGUUUUCACCUUCAAACCACUGGGGGGGGGGGCUUAUCUGAUGGGACACAACAUCACAAACGGAAUGAAGGCCACAUGAUCUUAUGAAGCAGACAGAGAAAAUCAAGAUGGAGGCCGUUGUCAGAACAGAAUUAUCCUUUAUUUAAAGGUCAGGACACGCCCACUUACAAACCUCCAACAACUACAGCGCGGUCCUUUAACGUCAAAAAAAACAGGCAACAGAAGAAGUCAUCCAGCUCAGAACCAGGACCAGCGUCUCCAUCCUCACAUUCACCCUUUCAUCUGUCGCUUCUUUUUUAUUUUC